rnacentral:rRNA from 1 species
CCGAUGGCGACCGGCGCACGGGUGAGUAACACGUAUCCAACCUGCCGAUGACUCGGGGAUAGCCUUUCGAAAGAAAGAUUAAUACCCGAUGGCAUAGUUCUUCCGCAUGGUAGAACUAUUAAAGAAUUUCGGUCAUCGAUGGGGAUGCGUUCCAUUAGGUUGUUGGCGGGGUAACGGCCCACCAAGCCCUCGAUGGAUAGGGGUUCUGAGAGGAAGGUCCCCCACAUUGGAACUGAGACACGGUCCAA